AUCUUUUCUGUAAAGGGAGAAUCUUGUAAUUCUUCAAAGAGACAAAAUUUCAGCGUCGCCAUUAUCAUUUCAUUGGAAUCUGGAGCACAACUUAUUGUGUUCAGCUUGGCAGUCCUGUUCAAGAAUGUGCAUCAUUUAUAUUCAGAUGCUCCGUGUUCAUAUGUAUGUCACUGACUACUUCUGUGCUGGUGACCAGCUACCAGAAAGAUGGACAGAAGAUGAAAGAUGUUUCUGGCUCAACUAAUUACUAAUAAGUACUUCUUUACUGUAAAGAGGAUAUCAGGACCUCUGUCAAGCUUGUAGAUAACCCAUGGAAGAGGAUACAGAAUGCAAACACCU
rnacentral:lncRNA from 1 species